UAGAGUUUGAUCAUGGCUCAGAUUGAACGCUGGCGGAAUGCUUUACACAUGCAAGUCGAACGGCAGCACGGGAGCUUGCUCCUGGUGGCGAGUGGCGAACGGGUGAGUAACAUAUCGGAACGUACCUAGUAAUGGGGGAUAACUAGUCGAAAGAUUAGCUAAUACCGCAUACGCCCUGAGGGGGAAAGCGGGGGAUCGUAAGACCUCGCGUUAUUAGAGCGGCCGAUAUCUGAUUAGCUAGUUGGUGGGGUAAAAGCCUACCAAGGCGACGAUCAGUAGCUGGUCUGAGAGGACGACCAGCCACACUGGAACUGAGACACGGUCCAGACUCCUACGGGAGGCAGCAGUGGGGAAUUUUGGACAAUGGGCGCAAGCCUGAUCCAGCCAUUCCGCGUGAGUGAAGAAGGCCUUCGGGUUGUAAAGCUCUUUCGCAAGGGAAGAAACGAUGCAGUCGAAUAAACUGCGUUAAUGACGGUACCUUGAUAAGAAGCACCGGCUAACUACGUGCCAGCAGCCGCGGUAAUACGUAGGGUGCGAGCGUUAAUCGGAAUUACUGGGCGUAAAGCGUGCGCAGGCGGUUUUGUAAGUCAGAUGUGAAAUCCCCGGGCUCAACCUGGGAACUGCGUUCGAAACUACAGGCUAGAGUGUAGCAGAGGGGGGUAGAAUUCCCGUGUAGCAGUGAAUGCGUAGAGAUGUGGAGGAUACAUGGCGAGGCAGCCCCUGGGUUAAACUGACCUCAUGCACGAAGCGUGGGGAGCAACAGGAUUAAAUACC
rnacentral:rRNA from 1 species